UCAAUCUCGUGCGGCUAUAUAUACCGCCGGUCCCUCUAAGAAGAUACAUAUGUGAACGCCGAUAGUGAAAACGAUGCCGAAACACCGUCCUCCAAGAUAUCGGUAAUUCGUCUAUUUAAUAGGCUAGAGUUACGUUCGUUAC
rnacentral:rRNA from 1 species